UCGGCGCGGGCGUCGAGGAACACUCCCGCUUCUUCGACGAGCGGUGGGAGCGCCUCUACCGGUCGCUGUACCCGAUCGGCGGCGUCGUC
rnacentral:tRNA from 1 species